rfam:Zhouia amylolytica AD3 51.P278.1_23, whole genome shotgun sequence.
ACUAAUAAUCGGGGUCGGGUACCCCAAAAUUAAU